CGUUCCCGGGCCUUGUACACACCGCCCGUCACACCACGAAAGUCGGCAACACCCGAAGUCAGUGGCCCAACCCGCAAGGGGGGGAGCUGCCGAAGGUGGGGUUGGUGAUUGGGGUG
rnacentral:rRNA from 1 species